rnacentral:lncRNA from 1 species
GAGAUUGCCAUCUACCAGGGUAUUCUCUCCCACCUCUUUCCCACCCCAGGUCAUCACCAGUGAAAGUUCUGACACUUGCACUUCUCCGGCAAGCCAGGGCCGGGGCUUCACUGCCAGCCAGCAGGAGGAUGAGCCAGCUCUGCAGUUCCACUUCAGAGUCCAUCUUCUUGGAUCACUCUUGGCACCAACUGUAUUGAGUUGAGUUCUGGGAAAUAGACUUGCAGGUCAUACGAAAACAAGUAUAAUAAUGUAUUUUGCCUAUAGGUGCCAAGACCUGCAUUGUUUCCUUUCAGAUACUUUUCUUUAUUGUAUUUGGGAACAAACCAGCUAUAGCAUGAGGAAGGGAUGUCAGGUGGAGAUAGAAGAGAAGAAAACUGGAUGUGCCAACACUGUCAUACACAGGGAUUUUCAGCAGUUUCAUGAAGCUACUGGAAGAUCUUUUCUUUGCUUGCCUAUAAACCCAUGCCAUCCAGUUCUCUCAGUCAUAGUGAGCUAUUCCUGGAAAAGCCCUUGCAUCAAUCAGUGUCCCAACAGGAAAUGGUUGGCAUCCCAGAUGAAGAUGAUAAAGGGACUGUUUACAAAGUUUUGGGGAAACUCCAAGGAAUAGUUUAAUAGCCCAGUCCUGUUACCACCCCUGCACCCAAAGUGACAAGGGGAGGGGGUGGAGACUGGGACAUGGGAAAAUCAUCUAGGGAAGGAUACCUUUACUGGAUCAGCAGCCUUCAGUUGGAGGAACACAGCCAGCUCCUGGUGACCCCACAGGGAGAGAGCGGGAGCACUAAGGAUUCCAAACUCAGUCCUCCUGAUCUUCAUCAGUAUUCGUCAUUGGCCAAACAAAUAACUGAAAUUCAGAGGGCAAGAGAGCUCAUUGUUAUCUAAACAGGUCAGCAUGGCAGACAGCGAGGCGAAGAGGGAAGGAAGGUGGAUUUGGAAGAACAAACGGGAGUGACCUAGUGCAGCCCUGAUAAACCCGAAAGCAGUGUUCCUCUCAAGAUAUUAUGGGGUCCCAGGGAGAUGCAGUGUCCAGGGAAGCAGAGGCAGCAGCACAGCUGCAGGAAGAAGUCAGGGUGGAAUCCACACAGAGCGCAUUCCCAGGCUGGGAGCUACCAGAGUAUUUGACCUUGGGCACAGCUGGGGUGGCCCCGAUGGCGCUGCUGUCUGCUGAUGGUCUCCACAGCUUCCCCAGCGAGGCCUUCCUGGAAGGAGUGCUGAGCAGCAAAGCUCUGUGGUCACCACUCAGGACAAAGGGGAACCAGCUGAACAGAGCCUUUCAUGUGACAACAAAAAACGACCUGGCUCAAACAUCACGACAGGCAUCUGUGGAGCCUGGGAAAUGACCUUUCUCAUGGGGAGAACACAGAACACACAAAGCUUUCUCUUAAAAGUCUACAAAAUUAUAAUCUGAUAACAACAGAACGUUUUGGUAUUUUGAGUAAUAGGUGUCACAUCGGAAUUGAUAUUUGCCAAAUUUGGCAUGAUAAUUGAAUGCUUUUUGCUUAUUUAUAUUUCAUAUUUUAGUUGUUUUCUAAUAACCAAAAACAUUUGUGUAUUUUUAAUAAUAGUAGAGGUAAAUGAAAUUUUACAUGUCAGUAAAAAAACUGAAAGAUGAUGCUUGUAAUUUCAAGUCGAUUAAAGAAAAUUAUUAAUAAAACAAUAAAAUACAAAUUAUACAUUUUAUAUUGUGAUACUUAAAGUAGAUGACCUGGUUUAUCCCUGAAGAGAAAGCAUGGAUGCAUAAACCAGACCAUAUUGUAAAUAUUUCAAAUUCAUUGGUAAACAUUGUUUUAAGAAGGUGAUUAGCAAAUAUUGUUUCAAGAAGGUGAUUAAGAAGGUGAUGCAAAAUUUGGAGUACUUUCUGUUUUGUAUUUUUCGUGACUAUUUGUGAGCACUUGGUGCUUAAGACACACUCAAAGAGGUACUGACAAUUUAUCAUAUUCUAAAGCAAUAAAACAGGUUGAAAAUAUCUA